rnacentral:lncRNA from 1 species
AUCAAAUCCCCAAACCAGCUCACUCAGUUGCAAUUCUAAGAUUACAAGGCAGAGAUCUAUGCCCUUAUUUAUUGACUCAUUUAUUUCCUUUAUCUUAUAAAAAGAAAAAAAAAGUCUUAUUGUGCACCCCAGGCUGACUUGAAACUCACAACAAUCCUCCUGCCUCAGCCUCUCGAGUACCAGGAUUACAGGUGCACACAGUACCAUACCAUGGGCACUCCCUUACUUAUAACCGAAGGAAAGUUCUUUUUUAAUUUGUUUGGCAGACAAAAGCCAUCCCCAGGUUGAUAGUCAUAACAGACAACUCUUGCCAGUUGGCGGUGUUGGGUAGCUCAAUGAGGUGACUGUCCUGUUCACACUGGGAAUGAAAAUGCUGCUAAGAAAAGGGACACACAGUCCACAGGGUUUGUCCUUAAGCUGCUGGAGAACUUUAUGGUCCUCGUUCUGAGUUGAAAUGACCUAGAGAGGUCCUUGGUGCAGAGCAAAGCUCAGCAGAUCUUGAGUUGUUCUGGGGAGCUGAGGUCCACAAGGCACAGGGCACUUCACGCUAUGGAGUAGCUGUUCCUUGUAUGUAUAUCUGAAGACUUUGAGCUUUUUAGCUUCCUGCCUCUGUCACUAGAAGGUAUAAAUUUAUCUUUUUAGCCUGUGAUAUUUCUGAAGAAAACAAAUCAAAACGCCAAGACUCUGGAAGAGUGUUGAAAGCAAGCCAUCCAGUUGUUUGAGAAUAGUGUGAGCUUCUCUUCUUGCUGUCCCCAGUUGUUACUUCCUCCUCCUUGGGACUGCCUUUCUUCACUGAAGAGAGCUCCCUCUAUGAAGGGAGGAGAGAGGCUGGGACAGAAAUCACAGCUUAGGCUGUAAUUCCUACAGGUCUCAAUGACACAGAUAUCUUUCAAGGUUUUUUGAUUUGUUUCACAAUGGGAUGAGAACAUGUCCUAAGUAUAGCUGAUAGCCAAUGUGAAGGCGUUUCCUGCUUCAGAUUAUCUAAAAGUCAUAAAGAAUUAAUCAUGUGUAGCCUUUUCAAAUAAUUUCUUUUGUCAUUUUCCCCUCUUUUCCUAAUGAAUAUCUGGAAAUGAUGUAAAAGGGACAAUUAGUAAUUCAAAAAGCCCAAGUGUAAAAGGUAAAUACCCGAGUAAUGGCUUUCUUGCCUUUCAUUUCAAAGUGACAUGAGCUGUACAUUUGGAAGGCCUGGCUUUGUGUGACACUGUGUACAUGGAUCAGUGCUGGAAAGGAUGUUCUGUCUGGACUCACGGUGUGCCUCUGUGUUUUGUGUCCUCCCCUUGUUCUGUGAAGUGUGGCUUUAUUACAUGUGUAUCUGUCAUCUAUAAUGGCAGUCGUGUGGGGGAAGCUCAUUUUCCUAGACAUCCAUUAGUCUGAAUUGCACAUUGUCACAAUUCCAAAACCACACAAAAUUCAAAGGGCCUGAAAAUAUGCCCGUUGCUCAUAAUUUCCAGGAGCCUUAGGGUAGACGACUUUGCUGAGGUAUCAUGGAUGAGUCUACUGCUUCUAAAUAAAUGUUCAGUCAGCAGCUAUGGAAGCUGUUUGAAGGUUUUGUUGUUGUUUUGUUUUGUUUUUGUAUUUUGUCUCCUUUAGACCAUUUUUCCCUUAAUUAAAAUCCUCAUUGAAAGAUAGCUCUGUAGAAAAGAUGACAUAUUUAACUGGCCUACGUGUAGACUUUUGAUAGGUCUUCGAUUAACUCCCUGGGUUAAUGAAAAGUAGAUUUUUCUCUUUUCAGGAAAAAUAAAGAAAGAUUGUAAACUAUGAAAAUUGCUUUGAUGAACUUGGGGUUUCUCACUUCCACCCCGGCUUCCUGUGCACAUAGGACAGAGAACUGAAAAGAAAACAGUAUGGCUUUGAAUGCUCAAAAGUAGCUAGAGCAAUAAACAGGGCAAAGCGGUGACGUCAUACACCAACCAUCAGGGUACAAGGAGGAGAAAGCAUUCUUCAUUUAUGGUGCUUUUGAUGCUAUUGAUACACACACUUUCAAAUAGUUCGUGGCAGUGAGUCAAGGGCUGACUGUUGAAGGGGGAAAAGGGAAAUUUGCACCAUGGCAAGGAGAAGGCCUAGCGAUGGGAAGGAUAGUUGACCCUGAAUAUUUUAAUAAGAAACUGGCAGAGGAGACAUUGGAGGAGGAGAAAGACAGAGACAAAGACU